GCUUGGAGCUCUCCUAAUGUGAAGACGUCUUUUGGAUCUAAUUCCUUUGGCACGGUCCAAGAGGACAAAGCGACGAGGGAUAUCCCACGCCGUAUGAGGUACAUCCUGAUAGAUUCUCAAAGUGGAUAAUAUCUUCACGUCGGAUUGGACCUGGAUUCCGAUCUCAUGUGACUUGACUGACCUGCGACACUAUCUAUAGCAAGUGGCAAACUCUUAAUGCCACUGUGGUUUGUGCCCAGAAAAGCUAAUC
rnacentral:lncRNA from 1 species